rnacentral:rRNA from 1 species
AUACCGUGAAACUGCGAAUGGCUCAUUAAAUCAGUUAUCGUUUAUUUGAUAGUACCUUACUACUUGGAUAACCGUGGUAAUUCUAGAGCUAAUACAUGCUAAAAACCCCGACUUCGGGAGGGGUGUAUUUAUUAGAUAAAAAACCAAUGCCCUUCGGGGCUCUUUGGUGAUUCAUGAUAACUUAACGGAUCGCAUGGCCUUGCGCCGGCGACGGUUCAUUCAAAUUUCUGCCCUAUCAACUUUCGAUGGUAAGGUAUUGGCUUACCAUGGUUUCAACGGGUAACGGGGAAUUAGGGUUCGAUUCCGGAGAGGGAGCCUGAGAAACGGCUACCACAUCCAAGGAAGGCAGCAGGCGCGCAAAUUACCCAAUCCCGACUCGGGGAGGUAGUGACAAUAAAUACUGAUACAGGGCUCUUUUGGGUCUUGUAAUCGGAAUGAGUACAAUUUAAACCCCUUAACGAGGAACAAUUGGAGGGCAAGUCUGGUGCCAGCAGCCGCGGUAAUUCCAGCUCCAAUAGCGUAUAUUAAAGUUGUUGCAGUUAAAAAGCUCGUAGUUGAACCUUGGGCCUGGCUGGCCGGUCCGCCUCACCGCGUGUACUGGUCCGGCCGGGCCUUUCCUUCUGGAGAGCCGCAUGCCCUUCACUGGGUGUGUUGGGGAACCAGGACUUUUACUUUGAAAAAAUUAGAGUGUUCAAAGCAGGCCUUUGCUCGAAUACGUUAGCAUGGAAUAAUAGAAUAGGACGUGCGGUCCUAUUUUGUUGGUUUCUAGGACCGCCGUAAUGAUUAAUAGGGAUAGUCGGGGGCAUCAGUAUUCAAUUGUCAGAGGUGAAAUUCUUGGAUUUAUUGAAGACUAACUACUGCGAAAGCAUUUGCCAAGGAUGUUUUCAUUAAUCAGUGAACGAAAGUUAGGGGAUCGAAGACGAUCAGAUACCGUCGUAGUCUUAACCGUAAACUAUGCCGACUAGGGAUCGGGCGAUGUUUCUAUCUUGACUCGCUCGGCACCUUACGAGAAAUCAAAG